GUGAAUCAUCAAAUUUUUGAACGCAAAUUGCGCCUUUUUCGGAAGGCAUGUCUGUUUGAGGGCACCAUUUAACAAAUAAUGUGCAGCGUUUUUUGUUGCACACGUUGAUGAGCUUUCCAAGAAUUUUAAAUUUUUGGUGGCGCAUAAUGAACAGCGUGAAAGUUUUUUUUAGGUUGAGGGGAGGUAAAACUUUUCUUGGGGUGGUGAAAAAAAUAA
rnacentral:misc_RNA from 1 species